AAUCACUGGAGACAGAAGACUGGAGCAAGGAGACACUGUACACUGGAUGUGAUGCGUUGUUCAAGGCAACGAGACUGAGCUGAUGUUCUGGAUUUAUACCCCUUGGUCAGCAGGCAUUGGAUGCUGGAAUCAUGUGUGCAGACACAGUGCAGGAUUGGGUGUUUGCAGGUCAGCUGACCGCAAGUGUCAUGGCGGCGCCCAUGCUGAACAGAUGGUGGAUACACACUAGAUGGACUUCAGGGGUACACAAGGACAAUGGGCACCAUGCCCGCAGACAAAACAUUCAUGCAGCCACAGACUGGGGCCGUGACCUCUGUAGGCCUGCACACCAGUACACUGCCUCCACACUCUGAGAUCCAGCUGCACUGUGGAUUUUACAAGAUCACACUCCCUUGAAUGACAAUAGAUAAGAGGCUGUACAGAUCACCCCUCUGAAGAAGUCCUUUUAGGACGAAAUGCGUCAGAGUUGUGAAGAGCAAUACCCCACUGUUGCCAUCUGCUGACAUAUAAUUAUGUUCAAUCUUAAGUGUUUGUGAAAAAUGGUUUGCUGAUCUAUCAAUGUUGA